ensembl:Y_RNA Y_RNA Y RNA
UGCUGGUCCAAAGGCCCUGACUUAUCUCAGUUGAUUGCUCCCAGUCCGGUACUCACUGAAUGCCUAUUCUACGUGUUCCCCAUUCUCACUAAUACACUUGACUAGUUAAU